UGGUGAAUCAUUUUCUGAGGACAGCCUACU
rnacentral:piRNA from 1 species